GCAGUAAGAUGCUGUCUAUGAACCGGGAAGCAGACCCUCACCAGAUGCUGAACGUGCUGGCACCGUGGACUUCUCAGCCUCCAGAAAUGCAGAUGACAAGACCCAAGGAGAUGGAGGAGCCACACAACUGAAAGAGAUGAGGUUCCUGAAUCACCACAUGGAGGGAAGCGGCCACUGAUUAGAAACAUCUGCCUGUUUCAUAAGGAUAAGUAAAGAGGGAAUGGAUGCCACAUGGUGCAGCUGCCUAAAAGCUAAGAAGGGGUCAUGGGGUAACAGGAAAUACCAAGGAAAAAUAAUAAUUGAUCCAGAGAAAAGGAAAGAAGAAUGGACUUGAAACCCUCCUGAGGCUCUAAUGAUGGUGAUUCUGCAAGGCUGAGAGCAGAGAUUUACAUAUUUGCUGUCAAGGUGAAGGUACCACAACGUGGAUGCCAUCUGGCAGGCACCUGGGUGGCUGACACGCAACAUCAAGUGCAGUAUCAUGAAAAUUAGCCAAGCUGGGCCCUGGUACUUCAUUGCUACCUGGUGUGACGGUGGACACCCAACAUCCACACCCUGGCUCCCAGUCUCCCCACCUUUAAAAUGGAUUUGAUCUCCAGAUUGCUACGUUUGUGUCCAUAUGUAAUGGACAAAAGUGGUGAUGGACUAACAAAUUACGGGAUGAGGAUCUGCAGGCUUUAUUUACUACUAAAAUGUUUAUUUCAUGUGUUGAUUAUCUGCAGCAUCGCCACCUUGCAGUUAGUCACUGGAGUCCUCUCAGAAUAGG
rnacentral:lncRNA from 1 species